UGCAGUCGUACGAGAGUUUUUACUCAAGUGGCGGACGGGUGAGUAACACGUGAGAAUCUGCCUUUAGGAGGGGGACAACAACUGGAAACGGUUGCUAAUACCCCAUAUGCUUUCGAGUGAAAUGAAUUUAUUCGCCUAAAGAGGAGCUCGCGGCUGAUUAGCUUGUUGGUAGAGUAAUAGCCUACCAAGGCGACGAUCAGUAUCUGGUUUGAGAGGACGAUCAGACACACUGGAACUGAGACACGGUCCAGACUCCUACGGGAGGCAGCAGUGGGGAAUUUUCCGCAAUGGGCGAAAGCCUGACGGAGCAAUACCGCGUGAGGGAAGACGGCCUAUGGGUUGUAAACCUCUUUUCUCAGGGAGGAAUUCAAUGACGUGUACCUGAGGAAUAAGCAUCGGCUAACUCCGUGCCAGCAGCCGCGGUAAUACG
rnacentral:rRNA from 1 species